rnacentral:lncRNA from 1 species
CUGUGCGUGCCCCGCCCCCUCGAGCUGCUAUACGCCGAUCGCCCAACAUCCGAGGACUUUGGCCCAGAGUAACCCAGCUCGCGUCACCUUUACCCUCCAUUCUGCACCUCUAGCUGCCCGCCCCGCGAGAGGGCGGCGGUUGGGCGCCCGUGCCGCUCGGUCCCGAGCCCCAGCUGUCCCCCUCCCGGCCCCUCCGCGCUUCUCCUCGUCAUGGCGGCCCUCAGCAAGUCCAUCCCUCAUAACUGCUACGAGAUCGGCCACACUUGGCACCCUUCCUGCCGGGUCUCCUUCCUGCAGGUCACUUGGGGCGCCCUGGAGGAGUCCCUGAAGAUCUAUGCCCCCCUGUACUUGGUGAGACCCGCCAGCCUCUCCCCCAGAUGGAGUUUAGUGUGGAGGAUGGGCCGGGGUUUCAGUCGGCGUCCCUGAGGGGCGCUGGGGGACUCGCCUGCUGUUGGUCUCUCUUUUGGAAAGGUCUGACAGCUUUGGGUGGGUGAAAGGCUGCGGGGAGGUCCUACGGGGGGAUGUCCCAACUUCUACGCGGGAGAAGGGGGAGGGGAAUUAGAGGUUGAGCUGUCACCGAAAUGCCUGUUGCUGGGAAGAAGAUGGGCACCCAACUUUUAGGAUUAAGUGUAGGACAUUUAAAAUCCUGAAUCCAGGGACCUGCGUUAUUUUCCCUCUCUCUAGCCUUGUGAUGGAGAGGUGUUUGUAGGUCAGCGAGGCAAUGAGAAUGCCUGCAAUCUUUCCUCAUAUAUAUAUAUAUUUUAAAUGAAAGAGGGCAUAUUUCACCUUAAGACCCUGUAGCCACAGAUCUUGUCUCAGUUUGUGAUGACAGGAUUGUGACUUGAGGGUUUUGCAAGUGUUUUUGCAAGUUCACAAAAAAGACUCCUUGUUUGAGAUUUUGUGUGAUGAUUUAAAAAGUCUAGCGUUUGAAUCAGUGAAGAUGCUUAGGAGAUUUGAUUUUUGUCAUCUAGGUCAUUUUAUUAUACAAUUUUAUACGUAGGGCAAUUAAUAGAGAAUAUUUGGAAAUAUGUGUACAUAACACUGAGAAUUGUUAAAGAUGUUUUGUUCUUAAAUGUUACCAGCAUCUUUUCUUCAAUAACUUCAUCCUGGUAUUAAAGAUUUAUUACUGUGUCCACUGAAGUUUAUUGUCUCAUUUUCUUGCCUGUAGAGUCUGUGUCCUAAGAAGGCAGAAAUUUUUUUUUGUAAGUUUCCUAAAAGUUUUAUUCAAUAUUAAAUGGAUGAUCAAGUAUUUCUUACUUCUCACUGAAGUCAGAAUACCCUAAUGUGCCUGAAAGUGUGUCAUGGCUCUGUUUUUAUUAUAACUUGAAAAGUCUGAUUAGUAUUACAGAGAUAAUACAAGAUAAGAUGGUGACUUUCUCUGAAGUUGAAGGAGUCAGUUUCAUUUUUAUGGUGUAGAUUGGUGUUUCUCAAAUUUUAAUGUAUUAGGAAUCCCCUAAGGAUCAUGUUAAAAUGGGGGCUCUUAGUCAGUAGAUCUGGGUGAGACCAGGAAAUCUGCAUUUCUAAGGAGCUCCCAGCUAAUGUUGAUAACUGGAGGGAUCACUUUGAAUAGUAAGUAUGGGCCAAUAAUAAACUUAUUAGGAGUGGAAGAUUUCUUUCUUGAUUUUCUUUGGCAAAGAUUCAUGCUUAUCUGCCUUUCCAUAUGAAUUGUGGCCAGUUUAUGGUUCCAAUUUUUUUUUUCUUUUGGUGUUGGGGAUUGAACCCAGGGCCUUGCUCAUGCUAGACAGGUGUUCUACUGCUAAGCUAUACCCAUAGCCCCAGAUUUUUUUUUUUUUUUUUUAGUGGAACAUCUGUAAACAUUGAGUUCUUGAUAUGUACAACUGUACAAAAUGAUUAUUCUUGGGCUAGGGAUAUAGCUUAAUGAUAGAGCAUUUGCCUAGCAUGUGCAAGACCCUGAGUUCCAUCCCCACACCACACACAAAAGACUUUUUCUGAUCUCAGAAGAUUGUGAACUAGGUGGAAAGAGUUUAUGCUAUGGAAUUUCUCCCCCUGUAAAUCCAGCACUUACUUUCCUUUGUUUGUUCAUUCAUUCAUUCAACAAGCAAUUUUUAAAAAUAUUUUUUAGCCUAGACAAUUUAUUGAUUAUAUUCUGUAAUAGGAAAGUUCGGGAGAGAAACUGGAAUAUAGCCUCCCUUUCUAGCAAGGUAUGGUGGGUGGGUAGGAAUUGGGAAAAGAGUUGUGUUUUACUAUUAUCUCCAACUGGAUUAAGUAUUUCCAGAGGAUAAAUUUUCCAUCUCAUGUGGCUUUGUAGCUUUUACAGUGUAUUUCAAACAGUGUAGUUUUAACUUUGGGUUUUUACUUAUCAGUGGUUGUAAAGUAAAAUUAGUGGGUACUUACUAGCAUUUUACUUUAAAUGAAAUAGAAGAGAUUAGAAAAUUUUAGAGUGCAUUGCUGGUACUAAAGUUAAGCAUUAUUUCAUAACAGACUUGUUUCAGUUAUAUAUGUAUUGUGUGGGUAGAGCUACUUAGAAUAUAUAGCAAUAGUAUGCCCUUUGUAAGUGUGGGUUAGUUGUUGAUUAAAUGUGUAUCCCUAUGUGCCAAGAUGCAAGGUGAUAUGUUGGGGAGAAACUGGGCUUUUAAAAGGGAUCAAGGAUAUCUGGAUUUGAAUUUCAGUUACCAUCUGUUUGAUUUUGUGCUUGUUACUUUUAUAUUUCUUGUAAGAAUGAAAUGAAAUAACACUGGUGAUGUACUGCAUAUUUUCUAAUUUAUAAUACAUCCUGAAUAGUCAUGUAGGAGUGAAUUUCACUGGUUAGCUCAGGAAGCCUUCUUGGAGGAAGAGGAGUUUAACUUGGGCCUUUAAGUUAAAUGUGGACAGACAUUGAUUCAUAUAGUAAAUAUUCAGAGUGCCUUUAAAUUUUUUUUUUUUUUUUGUAAUUAUUAGAGACUGAACCCAGGAACACUCUACCACUCAGUUACAUUUUUAUUUUUUGGUUCCAGGAAUUGGACUCAUGGGUACUUUACCACUGAGCUAAGUCUCCAGGCUCUUUUUAAAAAUUUUUAAAAAAUUUGAGACAGGGUCUCACUAAGUUGUUGAGGGCCUUACUAAGUUGCUGAUGCUGACCUGGAACCUGUGAUCCUCUAUCUCAGCCUUCUGAGUAGAUGGGAUUACAGGCGUGUACUACCAUAACUUUUUGGAAUGCUUAUUCUUAAUGGAACAGAGGUAAAAACACAAAUUGAGGCAGAAAUCUAAAUGGAUUUUUUGUAAGAGCAGCAAUAUGUCCAUUGUCUAAAACAACUUUGGGUGCAGAAGUUAUGAUUGAUGACUUCUAUUUAUUGAACACUUAAGUGGUUAGUUCUUCAUAUAUUUUAUUUAAUCCUUGUACAACCCCAUUCUUAUUAUCUAUUAUCCUCAUUUCAUAGAUAAGAAAACAAAGUUAGAGAAGUUAAGUGAUUUACAAGAUUUAGAGCUAGUAAGGAAAAAAGAGACAGGAUUCAGUUCUUGUUUUUUUACUGAAAGUCGGACUGAAGGUCAGAGAAAAGGAGAUAUUGAGAGAUUUUUUGAGCCAAGGGAUUACAAGUACAAAUGUACUUUGAGAUGAUGAAUUUGGGUAGGUGGAUUCGAAAGAUAUUGAGGAAUUAAUGCAGUAAUUACCAAAGUAGUAGAAAGAGUCAGAGUUCCUGUAGACUCUCACCUUGCAAUUUAUUAUCAAAGUGAAUUUAGGAAAAUUACUUCAUGUCUUUGUAUCUUAAUUUCCUUGCUUUGAAGAAGAUAAUUGUACUAAUGUUUUGAGACUUUUAUAGGGACUUAAAUGGGAUAGUAGUGUGUAGGAAUAGCUGACACGUAUUAGGGCCUUAAUAAAAUGGUGUUAUUUUUGAAAUAUUGCAUUAGUCAUUAUCUGUGUCUCCAUCUCCUGUUAGAACAAUUAGCUUUUGUUAAGAACCAGCAUAAUACUUCAGUAAGUACAUGAUAAGUGUCUGAGUGGGCACAGGUAUGAAUGAAGGAACACAUGACUAAUGCAGAAGUGAGGAGACACUGGGCAGGUCGGCCAGAGCAAAUGAUAAAACAGUUCUAGAGGCACUUCAUGGAAGAAAGAACAGUACAUAUAGACUGAGGACACUGGGGCAACAUGAGUAUAUUUAAUAUUUCUAGGAUUUCAAGUUGGUCUGAUUGGUGCAUUUGCUAUCAUUGAUAGAUACAGAGAAGUCCUGAAGGGAAGCUAGUUUGGGGCAAGAUUUUUCUGGAGCCUAUAAAAUGGCUCUUAUCGGCUUAUUAUUUGAAAUAUAAUGUAUUAUACUACAUGGAUUCUUCUCAUUCCUAUCAUAUUUACUCUCUUAUUCUAUGCAUCUGUUCUUAUGCUUAUAUUUUCAUUUUUUUAUCUACAACUGUUCUUGGUAUUUACCGUCUGCUUAAAACAAUUCAAAAUGUAGAUGUACUGUUCUUUUUAAUAAUGAACAUUUUGUGUUUUUACAGUUUGUAAAAAAUAUUAAUCCUCAUUCAUCAAUUCACUCUUGUAGUUUUUUAAAAAAAGAUUCCUACAUAUUUUGUAACAUAGUAUACCAAAAAUGUAUUUAGGAAGUGUAUUUUAUUUCUUGGAUGUUAGUUAUUGCCACGUGUUCAAAGAAAGUGGUACCCCUCACCAUAUACAUACACUUUAAAUAGUUGUUAAACUGUAGUGCCCUUGUUUUUUGUGGGGAAUUUAGAAUGCAAAAUUGCCCAUGUGAAUUCUAUGCUGUUCAAGGCACUUAGGUGCCUUUCCUAUUCAGAAGGAAAACUUGUUCACUAAUUUCCCAGGUAGUUUUUGAUCUUUCUUAAUUAUUUUUUUUCCCAGGUGGCUUUCUUUAGGACUUCCAGAUUAGGGUAAUAGUAUUUACUCUUAGCUGAAUCCAAAGUACAGAGAUUCUUUUGCAUUUUUGGGAAAGAACGAUUUAAACAUUUGCAUUUUCAUUCACCUUUGGGUGUGUAUGUUCUUCUUGAGAGUAUGAAAAUAUUUGUUCAAUAUCUACUCCCUGUGAGCCAUAUACUCUUGCAAAUCUAUUGUUACAAUUUAACAAAUCUGUUAGAUUAUAAAGGAUCAGUUCAUUACCUCUAGGCCUUGAAUAAACAUUUAAGCAAGAGUUAGAAUUCCUAGUUAGUUGUGAAAAUUUGAAAACCACUGAGGAAAUCACAUAUGAUAUGGACUGAGUUUUUUAAGGCAGUGGUUAACAGGUUUUCUAGAGAGAAACAAGAGCAGCAAUGAGACUGUUUUGAUUUGGAUCUGGAAUGUCCCCCAAAUGCUCAUGUAUUGAAGAUUUGGUUCCCAGUGCAGUUAUGUUCAGAAGUGGGGCUAUUAGGAAAUGACUGAGUCGUGAGGGCUUUAACGUCAUCAGUGGAUUAAUCCAUUAAUAUAGUGAUAAUUUGAAUAGAUGAUUCGGAGGUGCUAGAAACUGUAGUAGGUGGGACCUAGUUGAAAUGAGGCAGUCCUUGGGAGCAUGUUUUUGGGGACUAUAACUUGUCCCCCACCCUCACCACUCCCAUUCUCCCUCUUUACUUCCCAGUGACCAGAAGAUGAGCAGCUUUGCUCCACCAUACCUUCCCAGCCAUGAUGCUUUUUUCUUACCUUAAGCCCAAAGCAAUGUAACCUGUUGACCUUGGACUAGACUUUCUAAAACUAUAAGCCAAACUAAAUCUUUCCUUCUCUAAGUUGUCUUUCUCAAGUAUUUUAUCACAGCAAUACAAAGCUAACACAGACUUUUAAAAUUUUUGGUUAAUAGGCAUUUGCUUUUUUUUUUUUUUUUUUAAAAAAAAAAAAAAAGAAACCCUAGAGUCAUUAAACAAUGCCAACUUCUGAGAAUAACUGUCUGGAUUAUCUGACCUUUGAUUGGUCAAUGAAAUUGUAAAUCUGUGCCUAAUCCCCUUUUAAUUUUGCUUGAGGCCUUGUUUAAGGGGUGUAAAUCAGGGCUCAUUUUAUCUCUGUCUUCAAUAAACAAAUGAUUUUUACUUGGUUUGUCAUUAUUCCAUAAGAGAUGGAAGAAAGUCAUUUGAUCUUUUUUCUUUAAAAUGAGAAAUUAAAAGAUGAAUUUGAUUCAUUAAUGUGCCCUUUUGACUUUGUUGAACUUUUUAUAUGUGACUUCUUGUUAUUCUUUGGCUGUUCCCUGUUGAGUACAAAGUACGAGUUCCAGUACAUCACUUCUAGUUGAGAGCUGAGAGUUUACUAUUGCAGUAAAUACUUUUUUAAAAUUGAUUUUAUUUUUUAAAUACAUGACAGCAGAAUGCAUUACAAUUCUUAUUACACAUAUAGAGCACAAUUUUUCAUAUCUCUGUUUGUAUAUAAAGUAUGUUCAUAUCAAUUCAUGUCUUCAUAUAUGUUCUUUGGAUAAUGAUGUCCAUCACAUUCCACCUGCCCCCUCUCUUCCCUUCCCAACCUGUAGUAAAGACAAUUCACCCUUUUGUCUACUAGCUUUGAGAAUAGAUGGCCAAUUCUGGUUUACCAUUAUUUGCCCCUUUAGUUAUCAUAGGUUGGAACUAAAAAUUAAUAUAUAUUUGAAGUUAGGUUCUAAAACACAUUAGAAGAUAAUUUCUAAAUAAUUAUGUGCCAAUACUAUGCAUGUUUCUGAAUCAGUAGAUUUUCAUUAAAACUUUUGUUUGAUUUAGAAAAGUUUAAAAGAACUUCACAUCCUUAGUAUUUUUCAGUGUUGAGCUAGGUGAUAUUUAGGGAAGGGGAGUUAAUUAAAGUGACUGUAUUAUUACUUGCAUAAUUUGUACAGUACAGUGAGUGUGAAAUAUGUUUAUAUCCCCAAGGACUAUACUGAAUACAAGGUCAUACUUAUGAGAGGUUGAUGCUUUGAUGAUUAAGGGUCUUAUAUUCUAGGUUAGCCUAAUUAUCAAAAUACAAUACUGUAUUAAAGAUUUGUUUGAAUUCCAGUUGACCCUAGUUCAAACUUUUAAAUUGCCUUUUGAUUCAUUACUAAUCUUGACUUGCUUGCUCCUCAUUGAUAUACUCCAAAAGAGUGUUCAGAUUAAGAUUCGUGGUUAUUUUUUUCCUUCAUACAAUAUGAAAUGAAUCUGUUUCAUCUUAGAUUUAUGAAACAGGAAUAUAGUAUUUCUUUAUAAGCCCAAUUAAUUAGUAAAUCAAGUUAGUAUUAUUAAUUGAUAUUAUAAAUCUUAUAAAUUCCUGUCCUCAUAAUUUUACCUUAAGAGACUCAGUAAUUGAAAUGAAGGAAUUCAGUCUUGAACUAACUUUUCUUAUAGGACCAUUGACAAAUAUUCAGUGAAAUGGACCUUAAAGAAUUUUGUGUGAGGGAAGAAAAAAGUAUCAGGGAAUAAGUGCUAGAUCAGGUAUCAUCAGAUUUGAGCAGAUUCCUUUUAUAAGAAUGCCAGCUUUUCUUUGCUUUUAAUUUAUUACCAGUAAGUCUUUUGAUUCAUGACAUUUAUCAGUUUAUUCUAGUUUCUUGAUUCCAGAUAGCUCUUUGGGAUUUGAAUUGUAAUUAAUCUACUUUGGAGGCUUCCUUAAAACAUUAUAUAUCUUUUAACAGUGAUGAAGGAAGUUUGUCCUGAUCAGCCUUGAUUCUUGGGUUUAAUGUAUGCAGAGCUCAUUCUGAAUCUUAUUCUUAAUGAUAUUUAGUCUCAAAUUGUAUCUUAUGUACAUUUUCAGGUUUCACUUUAAACCUUAACGUUUAUAUAAAUUUGUAAGUGUAGGGAGAGUAAGGAUAUUAUAGGUAAGGUGUAAGCUUAAUGAUUAUUAUUAAAGCUUGGUGGUAUGAUUUUCAUUAUAGGGAGGCUUUAUGGUUAAUUGUGAAUGAAAACUUUUGAAGAUUUGCUUGUGUCCUUUUCCAUAAAGUAUUAACAAGCUGCCCUAGUUUUUUUUUUUUUUUAAUAAGCUGGUUGCUUGUAUCUGAUGAGGCAGCAUGGUGUAGUACGUUGGGUUUUAAUUCCUAGAUCCAAGUUUUUAUUUUGCUCUGGGAUAUAUAGUGUGGUUCCUUUCUUUAUAAAUAGAUGCUAGUCUUGUCUUACCUACGUCGUAUUUGCUGUGGGAAUCAUUAGAUAGAGCUAUGUAAAAGCCUUGAAAACUGUAAAAUGAUAUAUAAAUACUAGUCCAUGAUACUUGGUUUCCUGUCAUUUUCUUUUAGAUAAUAAAUUCGACUUUUGUAGUUUAUACUUUGAAACAUAAAAAUGUAGGGGCAGUUUAGGUAUAGUAUAUUAGGGUUCUUGAGUGAAGAGUAACAGGUGUGUGUGUGUACCGUUGACACUCUGUAUCUGCAGGUUCUGUAUCUGUGGAUUCAAUGAACUGUGGAUUGAAAAUACAACCAUAUGCUGCAUAAGAUAUUUUGGUCAACAAAGAUCUAUAUUCUGAAAGUAUAUUUCAUAUAGCAUAAGUGUGUAGUAGGCUGUACAAUUUAGGUUUGUGUAGGUAUACUUUGUAUGUAUACUCUGAUGUUUGUGCAAUGAUGGGAAUCAUGUAAUGUUACAGUUCUCAGAACAUACUCCCAUCAUUAAGUGACACAUAGCUGUAUUGGAAAAAAAUAGUCAGUGAUGAACAUGUAGCCUGUUUUCCUUGGUACUAAUCCCUUAAAAAUACAGUAUAAUAGCUAUUUACAUAGUAUUUAUACUGUAGGGAAUGUAAUCUAGAGAUGAUUGAAUAAUUGUCUAUUAAUCUAGAGAUUAUUAAAAGUAUAUAGGAGAAUGUACAUAGAUUAUAUGCAAAUAUUAUGCCAUUUUAUAGGAAGCGUGGUGGAUUUUGAUAUCAGUGAAUGGUUCAGGAUCCAAUCCCCUAUGAAUACAGAAGGAUGACUAUUAUCUAUAUAAAAUAAGGAAUGAUCUCAUAAUUAGGAAGGCUAUGAAGUGCCUACAUCUGCACUUGGCAAGCUGGAGACACAUGAGGGUGAGUAGUUCUAGUACAAGUUUGAAAGCCUCAGGAGACCCAGUGGUGUAAUUGCUCCUCUGAAAGCCAGAGGCUCUAGGCCCAACAAAUGAUGUUUUAGUAAUUCUAAAGAAGAAAAGACCAAUCAACUCAAGAAAUCAGUCCAGAGGAGUUCCCUCGGGCUCCCCCCCCCCCCUCCGAUUUUAAGUGGAUUGACCCAUCAACAUUAAGGAGGGGCAAUCUCCUGUCCUCAGUCUAUCAAUUCAAAUAUUAAUCUUCACCAGAAAUACCCUCAUAGACACACUCAGAAUAAUGUUUUAUCAAAUGUCUGGGCAGGCCUUGUUCUAGUCAAGUUGAUGCAUAAAAUUAAGUUUUUUAAUUAAUCAAGUUGUCACUUUCAGUAUAUAGUUAUUUGUGGAAACAAAGUAAUUCUACCUUUGUUAUGCUAAUAUUUUAAAAAUCAAGAUCUUAUUUUUAGCAGGUAUAUACCUGUAAUUCUAGUUCCUUGGGAGGCUGAAGCAGGAGAAUUGCAAGUUUGAGGCCAGACUGGGUAACUUGAGUGGGACCCUGUCUUAAAAUAAAAAAGGGCAGAUGGUAUAGCUCAGAGGUUGAGUGUCCCUGGAUUCAAUACUCAAUGCUGGAAAAAAUAUUAUUUAAAAAAAUACAGAUAUCUUCUGACUAUAGAUAAAUAUCUUUUUUUUAGUUUUCUUUAUUAAAGUUGUUUUUAUUUUGAAUCUGUUGGUAUUAUAAAAAUGUGGCUUAGUUUUGAUUCUCAUGAAGACAAUUGAACUAUUCUGAAUAAAACAUUAUAUGUUUUUCUUGACCAUAAAACAAUUAAGUUAUUUUUUAGCUCUGCCUCAAUGUGACUUAAAUAACUGAUGAGAAAAACUUGGAGGAGGAAGAGUUUAUUUGGGCUCAUGGUUUCAGAGAUUCAGCCCAUGGUCUUGGCCAAGAUGAGGCAAAACAUCAUGGUAGAAGAGCAUGGCAGAGGAAAACUGCUCUGGAAGGAGAGAGAGAGGAGGGGAGGGAGGGAGAGAGAAGGGGGGAGGGAGGGAAAGAGUGAGAGGCCGGAGGGGAGGGAGAGGGAGAUAUCUAGUCACCAGGGACAAAAUAUAAACCCCAAAGGCAUGCCCCCAGUGACCUACUUCCUUCAGCCAUACCCUGCCUGCCUACGGUUACCACUUAGUAUAAAAAUCCUUUCAAAUUUUUAAUCCAUGAAAUGGGUUAAUCCAUUGAUUAGAUCACAGCUCUCAUGAUCUAAUCAUUUCACCUUUGAACAUUCCUACAUUGUCUCACAAUGAGUUUUUAGAGCACUAGUCGUAUCCAAACCACAAGAGUUAUAAUGAGCACUUUUAAUUUAUAUUAAUUCUUUUAUAAGAGAAAUGGAGAGGAAACAUAACUGCAUAAUUGAGUUUUUUAUAGUUCUUUUAAAAUUUUUUUUAUAGUUGUAGAUGGACAGAAUGCCUUUAUUUUAUUUGUUUAUUUGUAUGUGGUGCCAAGGAUCAAAACCAGUGUCUUCCACAUGCUAGGCAAGUGCUCUGCCACUGAACUACAGCCCUAGCCCUUUAUAGUUCUUCUAAUUGCCGUUUAUUUUUUUCAGACAUUUUGAUUACCAAAGACAGAACUCUUUUAGACACUUAAUAUAUAAAGGAGCGCAACACAAAAAGGAAUUGGAUUUGCAGCAGGGAGUAAUUAUUGCAGAGUGAAGGAAUUUUAUAAGUGCCUAUUAUGUGUUAGUUACGCUGCUAAAUAUUUUGUUAAUCUCACUUAUUUAAAAGUACAAAGAUCUUAGAGAAGGAAGGAAAGAGCAAAGUUAACAGAUACACAGCUUAUUGUUUUUAUUCUGUCGGGAUCUGUUCUUUUUAUUUGCUGACUCAGGGCUGUGAACAUUGUGUUUCCUUCUUUCAUCUUUAGUUCUUAUAGAUUGGGAAUAAAAUUUUUAGCCCAGGAGUCAUCAUGUGCCUUAUUUAAUGUAUUCCAGUUUACUUCAUUGAGAUAGAUAUAUACAUUUCUGAAUAAUUAGUUAUUAUAUAAUCUUUGUUGUAUUUUCCCUAUAUUUUUAUGUUUUUCUUUCAGUGGAGGCAACCUGAAUUUUUGUAGGUGCUAAGAAAUUACAUUAAUUUAUGGAAAUUAUGCACUAUGGAAAAGGCUAUUUUUCCUUGUUUAGGAAAAAACAAGAUCAACAUGAAGUUUUAGUUUAUAAGAGCCACUUGCUUGACUUCAAUCCCUGCUCUGCUGUUUAUUAGUUUUGUAGUAAUGUUGGGCAACUUAAUCUCUUUGCUCUCAUUUUCUUUCUCUAAAAUGGAGAUAAUAAUCAUGCUCAUAGAAUUUUUUUUUCUACUUGCAGUGCUGGGGAUUGGACCCAAGUCCGCAUGCAUGUCAGGCAUGUGCUUUACCAUUCAGCCACAUGCCCAGCCCUCAUCUCAUAGAAUAUUAUGAAGAUUAAGUGAGUUGACAUGUAUGGUGUUUAGGACAGUGCCUGGCAAAUAGUGCUAUGUAAGGUUUUUUAAAUGAAAUAUAAAUUGUUUGGUAAUUAAAUACUUAAAAACAUUGUGUUAGCUUUGUUUUACUCUAACAAAAUACCUGAGAUAAUCCAAAUUAAAAAAGAAGAAAGGUUUAUUUUGGCUCACAGAUUUGGAGGUUUCAGUCCAUGGCUGGUAAGCCCUUUGUUUUGGGCCUGUGGUGAGCAGGACAUUAUGGUGUGGAGUACAUGGUGCAGCAAACUGUUCACUUCAUUUUGUCUGGGAAGGAAAAGAGAAAGGAAGAGGAGGGCUGGGGUCCCAAUAUUCCCUUCAAGAGCAUACCCCAAUGAGCUAACUUUCCAGUUUUCUGUGUUAACUUUGUAUUACUGUAACAAAAUACCUGGGAUAACCAGCUUAGAAGAAGAAAGGAUUUAGUUUGGCUUCCAGUUUUUCAGGUCUCAGUUUAUGGUUUCUUUGCUCUUUUGUUUUUGGGUAUUUGACAAAGAGCGGUGGAGAGUGUGUGGUGGAGAAAACUGUUCACCUCACGGUAGCCAGCAAAUAGAGAGGAAGUGAGAGACUAGGGCCUUAAUACUCCCUUUGAAGGCAUGCCCCAAAUGACCUAAUGUUCUGCCACUAGGCACUACCUCUUAAAGCUUCUUCUUCCUCCCAAUGGCACCAACGGUUGGGAACCAAACCUUUAACACAUGGGCCUUUAGAGGACAUUUAAGAUCCAAACUCUUAUUCUGUUCCUGGCGUCCAAAGGCUCAUAACCAUCUCGCCAUGCAAAAUGUAUUCAGUUCAUCUUUAAGAGUUCUCAAAGACUUAACAUUUUUAGCAUUGCUCAAAAGUCCAUGUCCAAAAUUUCCUCUGAGACUCAAGGCAAAUUUAGCUGUGAGCCCUUAUAAAUGUCAAAAAUGUUGCAUUUUUCUAAGAUAUGAUUGUAAGCAUUCCCAUUCUGAAAGGGAGGAAUAGGGGCAUAGAAAGUAGGGAACAGACUAAAGCAGGACAAAAGCUCAAUAGGCAAACAUUAAAUCCUUUCUCCAUGUCUGGCAUCUGGGGCACACUGUGAUGGGAUAUGCACUCCCAAGGGCUUGAGCAAUCUCACCCCUAUGCCCUUGCUGGCUACGGCCCACUUGGCUGACUUUGUAUGCUGCUUACAGUGACUCAUGGCAGGCAUUCUACAUUCAUGGUAUCUCUUUAUUCCUUGGUCUCCACUGCAGCUUUGGCUUCAUUUUCACAGCUCUAUGCAUCAUCCUGUCAGGUGCUAUGUACAGGCAUGCUGUCUUGCUCCUUCCUUUGAAAUCUCAUUAGAAGUCUCCAUGACCUCAUAACUCUUACAUUCUUUGUGCCUAUAAAACCAGCCUCAUGUGAAUGAUAUCAUCAUCUACCACCAGCGUCUUCCAUGAGCUCAGACUGUACCUAUACCCACUGGUUCUUGAACCACAGCUGCAGCAUCCUCUGCCUCCCUUGACAGCUACUCAUGGAGGAGUCCCAAGUCAGUCCCAGGAUAGCAAUGUAUAUCAGGGACCUCUACUAAAGUUGUUAGAACAUUUGCACAUUUACAUCUUUGAUUCUGCCCUGGGUAGGAUCUUGUGAUUCUUGAGAUGCCCCCAAGGCAUUUUUUCCAUUUUCCCCUGUGUGAGGUACUUGGUUUCCUUUUGAUGGUUCUAAUCUCUUUCUGUACUUUCUUGGUAGCACCCUAAAAUAUACUCCUUUUCUCACUAAGCUGUGAAAUUUUCAAAUCUUUCCACUCUGCUUUUUGUUCCUGAUUCUUAUUAUAAAUCUGACUAAAAGCAUCCAGCAGUAUCCAUACUGGUACCCAAAGUCUGUGGCCUUAAAAUUUGCUCUUCUAGAUAAAAAAUAGUUGAUCACCUUUAAAUUCAGCCUCUCUUUUAAAGUUUCAGGGUAUGGGCAUAAUGCAACCAUUUAAUUUAAUUUAAUUUUUUUUAAAGUUGUAGAUGGACAUUUUUUUAAAAUUUAUUUUUAUGUGGUGCUGAGGAUUGAACCCAGUGCCUCACACAUGCGAGGUGGGUGCUCUACCACUGAGCUACAGCCCCAGCCCUAUUUUAUUUUAUUGGCUCUGGUGUAACAGGGAUAUCCUUAGUCCAAUUCCUAAUUGAGUUCUUAUUUCUUUCUGAAACCAUCCACAUUUUUUUUUUAUUGUCCAUUUUUCUAUCAGCACUCUGACUUUUGAGCUGUCAUCAGAAUUAUCUGUUAAACUUCACUUAUAGCAUUCUAGGAUUUCUCUGGCUCACUCCUCCAAACUUUUACAAAUUCCUCUUGUAAAUGUAUUUGAAAGACUUCUCCACAUCAUUUCAGGUAUAGUUACAGCAACAACUCCAAUUCUUGGCACAACUUUUUGGUGUAGAUUAGCUUUGCUUUAUUAUAACAAAAUUUCUGAGACAAUCAGCUUACAAAGAGGAAAGAUUUGUUUUGACUUACAAUUCUGGGGGUUUGACCCUGGAAGGUUGACCCUGUUGCUUUUGGACCUUUGGUAAGAUUAUACAUCAUGGUAGGAACAUGCGGCACAAGAAGCUGCUCAUUUUGUGAUAGCCAGGAAAUAAAAAAAAGGGAGAUAGGAAGAGGCUUGAUUCCUAGUAUUUCCUUCAAGGGCAUGCCCCUAAUGAUCUAAGACCUUCAACUAGUCUUGAAUUCUCAAAGUUUCUACCACCUACUGGGCAUGGUGGUACAUGCUUAUAUUCCCAGUGACUCUGUAAUCCUAGUGACUUGGGAGGCUGAAGCAGGAAGAUUGCAAGUUCAAGGCCAGCCUGGGAAAUUUAGCAAAAUAGCAUAAAAAGGGCUGGGGAUGUAGCUCAGUGGUAGAGUGCCCCUGGGUUCAAUCCCUUGUACCAUGGGGUAAAAAAAAAAUUUUUUUCCACCACCUGCUAAAUAAUGCUAUGGACUGGGGACCAAGCUUUUAACACAGUCUCUGUGGGGACAUUUAAGAUUCAAACUAUAGUACAUACAUAAAUUGAGUUUGCUGUUUUCCUUAAAGUAGUUGAUCUCACUCAAUAAGGGGCAGUUUUACGUCCUGUGAGAUGUUUAGCAAUGUCUGGGAGACAUUUUUUGGUUGUCAUAAUGGGGAUGCUAUUGACAUCUAGAAAUUAGAGGCUAGCGAUGUUGCUAAAUAUACUUUAAUGUAUAGCACCGCUCCCUCUCUUCUCCCUGAAACAAUAAAUUAUCUGGUCUCAAAUGUCAGUAAUGCUGAGGUUGAAAGACCCUGCUUUAAGCAAAUCAUUAUUUGCUAGUGAUUACUUUAAAAAAUUAAAUAGGCACAACAUAAAAUCUACUCUGUGAGCUAUUUUAAUUUCCAGAGAAACUAGAUUUUUAGAUUCUCUAGAAAUGAAGUUUUUUAGAAGAGUUUAAUGAUCAAACUCUAUUAAUUUACAGUUUGAUACUAAUAAGGCUAAGAUAAUGGGUUAGCCCCUUUGAGGGCCAAUUAUCUUUGCUCUAGCCCAUAGCCAAGCAAUCUCAAUAGUAGGAAAUUAUCUCUAUGGAAAAUGUGUGGCAUUAAUCUCAUGGGAAAUAGACAAGGUAAUAACAAUGGAGUAUAAAGGACUAAGAUGAAAUGCGUAUGUUUCUUAUAGAUGUUUAAUAGUGGUAUUCUUGUAAAGGGAAACUUUCAGCCAGGCGCAAUGUUGUACACCUGUAGUCCUGGCUUCUUCAGAGGCUGAGGCAGGAGGGUCACUUUACAACAGGAGUUCAUGGCCAGUUUAGGCACCAUAGUGAGACCCUGUGUUGCACAUUAAAGCGGGGGAGAUACUUUUAAAUUGGGGGUCUGUCCUUAUAAUUUUGUAUCAGUCAUCAUUCUGUAGACAUUGUAUUAGAUUGGUAUCCAUACUUGACAGUCAUGAGCUAUGCUUAAUGCUGCCUGUUUCUGUGUUUUUUCUUUUUAAAUGAGACCAUUAUAAUUAUACAUAGUAGUUGGGUUAAUCCUGAUGAAAUCAUACAUGCAACAAUUUAAUUUCAUGUUGUCCGCCUACUUUUCAUCUCCCUUCCCCUUCCUCUACUGUUCUUCCUUUCACUUAUCUAUUUAUUUGUUUUUGAUUAGUUCUUUUUACUUAUACGUAAAGGUGAAAUUUCUUGUGGUAUAUUUAUAUAUGCACAUAAUAUAAUUUUUUAAUAAUUCACUCUGCAUUUCUUCCCCAUUCCUGUCCCUCUUCUCUCCCUCUCGAUCUCCUUCUUCACUACUGGUAUUUUCUAUAUCUUUAUGGUAACCAAUCAUCAUUCUCCCCUCCUUCUUUCCUUAUUUAACUCUAGCUUCCCACAUAUGAGAGAAAAAUUCAAUCUUUGAUUUUUCUGACUGCCUUAUUUCUCUUAACAGAAUGGUCUCCAUUUCUAUCCAUUUACUAGCAAAUGCUGUAAUUUCAUUAUUUAUGGGUAAAUAAAACUCAAUUUUGUAAAAAUAUCACAAUUGCUUAAUCCAUUCAUCUAUUGACCCAAUAAUUUAGCUUUUGUGAAUUGUGCUGCUAUAAACAUGGAGGCUGUAUUGCUAUAGUAUGCUGAUUUUAGUUCUUUUGGAUAAAUACAAAGGAGUGGGAUAGGUGGGUUAUAUGGUAGUUCCAUUUCUAGUUUUUUGAGGACUCUACCUACUACUCCUUUCCAGAGUGGUUGUAGUAGUUUGCAGUCCCACUAAGAAUGUAAAAGCGUGCCUUUUCUCCUACAUCCUUGCUGGCAUUUAUUAUUGUGUUCUUGAUUAUUGCCAUUCUGACUGGAGUGAGAUGAAAUAUCAGUGUAGUUUUGAUUUGCAUUUCACUAAUUGCUAAUGAUGUUGAAUAUUUUUUCAUAUAUUUUUUGGCCAUUUGUGUUUCUUCUUUUGAGAAGUUUAUGUUUAGUUCUUUUGUCCAUUAAUUGAUUGUGUUAUUUGUUUUUUUGGUGGUAAGUGUUUCUCUUUAUAUAUUCUGGAUGUUAAUCCCCUGUUGGAUGAGUAGCUCUGCCUCUGUUUUUUGACCCAUGCUUGAAACACUGUGAAAAUAUUUGUUAAUGUUUUAGAUACUUUGAUGUUUAUAAUUUUGGAAUAUAGGUCUGAGAUCUAUCUCAGAUUAACUUUUGUGUAUUAUAUGAGGCUCGGAACAAAGUUAACUUUUUCAUACAGAUAUCUAAUUCCUACAGUAUCAUUUCUUUUUUUUUUAAAUGUGUAAUUUUAGAAGUGUAGUAAAGGAGCCCCUUGUAUGAUUCAAUUUAACCUCUUUAGUUAAGAAAUGAGGAAAUUGAAAUCUCAAGAGUAUCUAAGCAAGGAUUUUUCAUAGAAAAAGGUUAAGAGGUUAAAAAUCAAAUAUUUAAGGUUAAAAAUCAAAUAUUUUCCUAGCACCAUAAAAAAUCAAAUCUCCAAAUUAUUUUGUAUUAUGUCCUUCUGAUAUUUUAUUCCCUAUUCACAUUAUUUUGUAUAAUAAUAAUCAUGACUUUCACACACUUAUUACUGUCUCCCUGAUAUUAUAAAUUAGAACAUAUGUGGCUAGUUUUUUGUUGAUGUGACUAAAAUAUCUAACAAGAACAAUUUAGUGGAGGAAAAGUUUAUUUUGGCUCACAGUUUCAGAGGUUCAAUUUAUGGUUGAUCAAUUCAAUUGCUCUGGGCCUGAGGUAAGGUAAAACAUCAUGGCAAAAAGUCCUGGUGGAGAAAAGCUCCUUUGAUCAUGUCAGUCCAGAAGAAGAGAGAGAGGGAGGAGCUAAGGGACAGUAUAAUCCCAAGGUCCUGUCUCCAAAGAUGUACUUCUUCCAGCCAUAUCCCACCUGCCUAUCACCUAGCAAUCCAUUCAGAUGAUUAAUUCUUAAAAUGGAUGAAUCCACUAAUUAGGUUACAGCUCCCAUAAUCUUAAGCAUUUUACCUCCUGCAUUAACACAGGAGCUUUAGCGGGACAUGUUAUAUCCAAACCAUAACAAUAUGUUUUUUGUAGGAAGUAUGGAAUAUAUUCAAAGCAAAAAGGCAACAAAACAAAACAAAAGCAAAAGCAGUAAACCUCCAGCCCCCCACAGAAAAUUAAACAUAAUCUCUUUUCCAUCAUUCACUGAUAACUAAUUCAUAACAUCUUAAUAUUUGUCCUAUAUGUUCAUUAUAAAUUAUUGUUUUGUAGUCUGUCUUUUGACAUUAUAUAUUUUAUUUUAUUUUUCUAGGAUAUUAAAUAGUUUUCUAAAACAAGACUAUAUUAAUGUAAGUAAAUAAACAUGGGUGUGUAUUUUACCUAUAGUUGUAUGGUAUACCUUAUUUUUAGCUAAAUCUUUAUAUGUAUGUUUAAAUAAAUUAUAAGGAAUUAAUAUGGAAUUAUUUUGUCAAAGCAUAUGAACAUUACAAAGUCUUUAAUAUAAAAUGUGAUAUUUCUGAAGGUGUCUGAUUAUCUGAUUAUGCUUUUAUACAUGAGGAAAGGGCUUUUAUUAUUGGCUAUCACUAUUUACUAGAAUGUUUGGUUAGAUCAGUGUUUCUAAACCUUUUUCACAUUGUUGCAUGCUCUGGUAUACUUAGAAAACUAUAAUAAUGGGUGGCAUGCUGAGAAAACUGAGGUGGUGAUCACCCUGUUUUGUACCCCCAUCUUGGCUUAGCAAUUUACAGUGCUGAGAAGAUCAGUUUUUUAGCCACUGGUAAACCUUAUUGUAAGCUCUGGGUUAGAACACAGUGAUCAUGUUUUGUAUAAGAUAUUCCCUGUUACCUUGCAAUAGACUAUAACUUUUUCCUAACAAUAUUGUAAAUAUGUAACAUCUAUCUACUUUACUGUUAAUAGACAUUUAGGUUGUUGUAGUAUUUAUAAUUACAUAUGGUAUUAUGAAUAUAUCUUUUGGUAGAAAUAAGCACUAUUGCUUUUGGGUAUUUUUUCCAGAAAUACAAUUGCUGGCUCCUACAAUAGAUAGAUAAACACUUAUUUUCAUUAGAUACUGUCAGUUUUCCAAAGUAAUAGCCAUUUUACAAUGUGAGAGUUGUGGUGCCUCUCAUUCCCACCUGCACUGUACAUUAUCUAUCCUUUUCAUUUUAGAAGUUCUGGUGGGUGUGUAGUGGUAUUUCAUUGUGCACUUCUCUGAUGACUAAUGGUGCUAAGAAUAUUUCAUAUGCCUGUUGGCUAUGUGCAUAAACUGGUUUUUAAAGAUAAAUUGACCUUUUUAUUAUUAUUUUGAGAUAAUUGUGAUUCACAUGCAUUUGAAAGAAAUUAUAGAGAUCUUCCAAUGCUGUCAUCUUGCAAAACAAUAAUACAAUAUUACAAUAAAAUAUUACCAUGUAUACAGUCAAGACACAGAAUAUUUCCAUCAUGGCAAGGAUCCCUAGUUUUGUCCUUGUAUAGCCAUACUUACUCCCCUUCUAUUUACCAAUAUCAUCUUAAUCCCUUAACUACUGAGUUAUUUUGCAUUUGUAUAAUUUUGUCAUUUCAUGAAUAUUAGAGGAGUGAAUCAUACAGUAUGUCUCCUUUGGGAUUGGCUUUUUCACUCAACAUAAUUCUCUGGAAAUUCAUCAAGGUCAUUUGAUAUAUCACUAGAUUGGGCCUUUUUAUUGCUGAGUACUAUUUACUCCAUGGAAUGGUUAUAUCAUGGUUUGUUAAACUGUUCCCCUGUUGAAGAGCACAUGAGUUGUUUCCAGUUUUGGGAAAAAACUGAACAAAAGUGCUAUAAAUAUUUGUGCACAGAUUUUUGUGUAAACAUAAAUUUUCAUUUCUCAGAUAGUACCCAGAACUACAAUUAGAAGUCAUAUGGUAAUUGCUUGGUUAGUUUUUCAAGAAAUUACCAAACUGUUUUCCAGAAUGGCUUUAUCAUUUCACAUUUGGACCAUCAAUGAAGAGAUGAACUAGUUCUCUAAUGCUAGCCAGCAUUUGGUGUUGUCACUGUUUUUUUUUUUUAUUUUAGCCAUUCUGACAGUUUUAUAAUGAUAGUUCAUUAUAGUUUUAAAUUUGCAAUCCUCCUGCCUCAGCCUCCUGAGUUGCUGGGAUUAUAGGUGUGUAUACCAAGCUUGGUGGUUAUAUAUGAUCUGUAUGUUUUUGUCUAGGGAAAUGUCUGUUCAUUAUCUUUUGCCUGUUUCCUAAAUGGAUUGUGUUUUUUAUUGUUGAGUUUUAAGAUUUCUAUAUUUAUUCUAGAUAUUAACCUUUAUUAGCUAUGUGAUUUGCAAGUAUUUUCUCCUAUUCUGUAGCUUGCCUUUUUGUCCUCCUAAUAGGUCUUUCAGAGAGAAAAAGUUUUAAUUUUGAUGAAGUUCAGUUAAUCAAAUUUUCCUUUUAUGAAUUAUGAUUUUAAUGUCAAGUCUAAAAACUUGUUACCUAUCCUGUGGCUAUAAGGUUGUCUUCAUUUUUUUUUCCUAAAAGUUUUGUGAUUUUAUAUUUUACAUUUAUGUCUAUGACUCAUUUUGAAUUAAUUUUUGCACAAAGUGUAAGUCUUAAGGUUCUCUUUUUUAUUUUUCUUUUCUUUUUUUAAUGUAUGCCCUCUUACUCUAGCACCAUGUGUUGAAAAGACUAUCUUUCUCCCAUGAACUUGCUUUUGUACAUUUGGAAAAAAUUUAACUGUAUUAACUGAAUAUAUUUCCAUGAAUUUAUGAGUUCUCUAUUCUGUUCUAUUCCUCUAUUUGUCCAUGUCUGCCAAUAUUACAUGGUCAGAUACUGUAGCUAUGUAACAAUAUCUUAAAAUCAGACUUAUUUCUUCUUUUUAAAAACUUUUUUCAAAGCUAUUUUAAUUCAUUUGCUUUUCUUUAUAAAUUUUAGAAUACUCUUGUCUGUAUCUAUAGAAAUCCUUGGAUUCUGAUAAGACUUGUUAGAUCUGCCUAUUAAUUAUUUAGCUUAUAUUUUAUUUAUAUAUUUUUAUUAGUUUAUAAUUUAUGACAUUUUUACCAUAUUGAAUCUUCUAAUCCAUGAACAUGGAAUACACUGUAUUUAUUUAUUUAUUUAUUUGGUGCUGGGGAUUGAACCCAGGGCCUUGUGCUUGUGAGACAAGUACUCUACCAACUGAGCUUUAUCCCUAGCUCCACACUGAAGUUUACAUAUUUUUUUAGAAUUUUUUUUUAAGUUUGUCAAUGGAACUUUAUUUAUUUAUAUGUGGUGCUGAGAAUUGAACCCAGUGUCUCACACAUAACAGACAAACUCUCUACCACUGAACUACAACCCCAGUCAUGAUAGUUUAGAUCUUGAAUAUUCCCCAAAGGUCCAUGAUUUAAGGCUUGGUCCCCAGUCUAGGUUGCUAUUUUGAGGUAGAAGACCUUUUAGUAGGGGAAGUCUAGUGAAAGGAAUUUAGAUUAUUGGCCAUGUACCUUUGAAUGGGAUUAUUGGGUCUCUAGCCACUGCCUGUCUUUCUCAAGAAGUGAGCAGUUUCUUCUGCCACAUGUUCCUAACCCCAGGCCCCAAAGCAAUGGAGCAAACUGACCAUGGAUUGAAACUGUAAGCCAAAAUAAACUUUUCUUCCUUAUAAGUUAUUUAUUUCAGACAUUUUAUCAUAGUAAUGGAAAGCUGACUAAUACAGAUUACCUCUUCACUUAUGUACAUCUUCUUUUAUUUCUCUUAUUAGUGUUGUGUAUUUUCAGCAUACAAAUGCUAUAAAUUAUAAAUGUGUUGGAAGAUUUGUACCCAAGUAUUUCAUCUUUUUGAGGAGUUAUAAAUGUCAUAUUUAUGUGUAUGUGUUCAUUGCUCUUACAUAAAAAUGCUAUUGAUUUUUGGAUGUUUUAUCUUGUAUCCUCUGAUCUGUAAUUACUUGAAUAUAUAACUCUGCCAGUUUCUGUCCAUUGUUAAGUCUAAAAUAAAGAGACAUUGCAUUUGAAAUCCUGAAGAUAAAAGAAACUGAGGCAAUGGCUGAGGAUGAAGGAGGAAUUAAAAAUGACACCAACAUUUUAUUCCUAUUUGGGAUAGGGAAUUCAGAAGUAAAAAUGCAUUUGGGAAAUACAAUGAAUUGUCCUUUGGACUCUUUGAUUUUUUUUGGUGUUCAUUGAAUAUCUAUACUGACAUGCCCAGUACACAUUUAAAGUAUGGAUUUAAAUUUUAGGGGACAGGUUAGGAAUUCCUACAUUCAGAUGAUAGGUGAUACUAUGGGAGAGAGCACACGUAGAAUGAGUAUAGAGACUUGAUGGCAAAUUGCUAAGAAGGAAUAGCCUUUAGGUAGAUAAUUGAGAAAUGAAAAGAAUGCACUUUCAUAGAAACUUCUCACCUGUUAAAAUUCUAACUGUCAAGAUUCAUAUUAAAAGUCCAGUUAAAUCUUCCUGACAUUAUCACUUGCCCUUCCCAACUUCCUCCCGUAUGUCUCUUCUUCUAACAUUUCCCAUACUGCCAUAUUUUAGGUUAUUAUAUAUGUUUUUGUUGCUAUCAAAAUUUUAUAUUCCUUGAAAACAAGGAUUAAGACUUAUUCACCAUUGUUUUCCAUAUGUUGAAUUAAAAUAGGAGGGGGUCAGUUUCAGAGACUUCAAGGGGGUCAUCAGAAGAACUUAGAAGAGGCCAUUAGAUUUGUUGAUCACUGACCUUAGGGAAAGUGUUAUCUCCAGAAAGAUAGGGAGUGAAUGGAGAGUUUUCUUGUGCUGCAGUCAUUUUUGCCUUUUUUUUUUUACACCUCCUCUGUCAUUCCCUGAUCCUGUUCUAAUACUCAUUCCUUUGAUAUACUGUUUCAUUGUGAUAAAAAGGUAUUCCUUCUCAUGACUUGUGAGAAUUCUAUUCUUCUAAAUCCAGCUUAUGUCCCCUUUUCCAUGAAACUUCUGCCUACUUUAUAUUAAAUUCACUUUGCUAAAUUUCUGUGGUACCUGUGAAUUAUAUUCCUAAUACUUAAUAAUUCUUAAAUAUCUAUAAUCCACAUUUUGAGCAUAUUGUGAUUUAUUUUGUUUUAUUUUUUAUAACAUUAAAAGUGUGAUCAAUAACUAAAUAUCAUCUUUUUAUUUUGAUAUAUUGUUAGGGAAAUUAGCCAUUCAAAUAAUUAAUAAAUAAAUAAUAGUUAAAUAAUUAAAAUUCAAAGUUUUCAAUUUAAAUUUAAAAGCUAUCUCAUAAAGUCUGAGAGGUUGAUUUUUUUUGAGAUUGCAUUCAUUUUAUUGAGUUUAAUUUUGCAGUUAUCUGCACAAGUAACUUGAAGCACACCAUGAGUUUGUGGGCUCAGAUAUAUUUCAGAUGAAGUUUUCUCCUCUUCGUCCUCCCUCCUUUCCCCAGCACUUUGGUGUAUUUGGUGUAUAAUAAAAGAUUACUGUCAUAAUCUUCUGCAAUUCUCUGUCUAGGUAUUAUUCUUUCUGUAUUCUAGGGGCAUGUGGUGCUUACCUGUGUUAUUAUAUUCUUAGUAAUGGUUUAUUUGAUAGUUUUACAUGGGCUCCAGGAAGCCAGAAAUUAUUAACUUUGUUAAUUUUGUAUUUCUAUCAUUUUUUCCCUUAUAAUAGUCAUGUUUGAAUAACUGAAUAAUUUCUUUUUCUGUUUUCUAUCCUUAAAAUUCUCUAAUAAUGGUAGGCUGAUAAAAUCUGUAAUGUCGUUUUGUUAUAGCAUCAGAUUUUAUUAGAAUUUUAAUUUUUUUUCCAUUUAAAGGUGUAUUUCAUUUUUCAGUUUAAAACUGUCUUUAAUGCUUCUCAAUUUAUGAAAUGUGUUCAUUACAUGAUCCAAGUUGUAAUUUCUUGGUGUGUAUUUUAUCCUUAGUAAAUUCAAGUAUCUCCUUUCUGUCCUUGAAAUUAUAUUUUUAUAAAGGAGCAAGUACAAUGCCAUAGUUUUUACUUUUAUUUUUAAAUACAUGUUUAUUCAGUAGUUUCCACAUAAGAGCUAAUUUAAGCUAAUAAUAGUUGUUUGGAUUAAACAAAAAAGCCUUUCUCUUUCCAGAUUGCAGCAAUUCUCCGGAAACGAAAAUUAGACUAUUAUUUGUACAAACUACUCCCUGAGAUCCUACAAUCCGCUUCAUUUCUGACUGCUAAUGGGGCCUUGUAUAUUACUUUCUUUUGCACUUUAAGGUUGGUACUCAUAAUCACCAC